UUACCAUAUAUUUUAACACCUUUAGCUCUAUCCAGUGGCGUAGCCAGAAAUUUGGUCUGGGGGGGGGGUGUGGUUCGGUUCGCUCUUUCGCAGGCUCUCCCAUCAUCAUAUCUACACUGCCGUGCCGUCGUCGUUCGGUGCGUCGGUGAUUAUUCGCGAAGUCGAAGCAAAAUAAUUAUUCUUCACACAAACAAUGACAGUUCUUUAUGGGUUUUUACCAGGCUAUUGACAUCGAGAUUGACAUCCUAUUGUUUGGCCCAUCGCCAGAUCGUAGCCAGGAUGUCCCGGGCUAUAAUUUUUUUUCAUACUGCGUUUCAUUGAUGACAGCGGUCUAUAUCUAUUGAUGAUGAUGACACCGCGCUUGUCACCGGCUCGGUUUUUACAGUAGAGCAACAGAGAGGAGGAGAUGGCGGCCAUGUUUCACUCAAACUCUGACAGAUAGCAAUGGGAUUUCCCAUAGGAGGGAAGAGCAAAAUUUGCUUCGACUUCGCGAAUUGAAAGGCAAUACAGCAGCAGCAGCAGCGUUAGUUGUAAACAGUCCGCCGUCGUGCACAUUUCGAGGGGCGAACCCUUGAUCGUUUUUAUUGUUGGGUGUUAAGUUUAGUAUUUAGUAAUGAAUGUAAUUAGUGUCAAAUAAAGUAGUGUCGUAAAUUAAUAAUAAAUCGAUGUUUAAUGUAAAGUGUAAUAAACUGUAAAUUGUGUUUCAAUGUGAAGACUUGGUGUUUUGUGUGACUGAUGGUCAUUUUGGGUGACAAAAUCUGCCCUGGGAAAGGUGUCGUUUUGGACUGGGUUCGCUGGCCAACAUAGUGAAGAUUACGGCAGAAUAGGAGCCAAACUGAACGACGACCGCCAGCGCUGAUUGCCUGCUGCAGCUGCUGUUGUAUCAUAGCACAGUGGAGGGCGUGGGAAUUACAUGUGGAUUUAAUUCGAAAGUUUCGACAAGAAUUGUGGAAUAACCUUAGCGUUGUUCUACUACCGUCAGGGCAGUAUUCAGGUAAAUGCCGAAGCCAUUUCUUGACUCACACUAACGCCAAACCUUCGAUUCUGUGGAAUUUGUUGCUGCUAUGAGUGUCAAUUCACUUCAAAAUUCUCCUGUUGGCAUUGUAAGGGUCGACACCAUUCGUUACUUUGCUUCAAGGGAAGA